rnacentral:rRNA from 1 species
UUAAGUUAUUAAGGGCGCACGGUGGAUGCCUUGGCACUAGAAGCCGAUGAAGGACGUUACUAACGACGAUAUGCUUUGGGGAGCUGUAAGUAAGCUUUGAUCCAGAGAUUUCCGAAUGGGGAAACCCAGCAUGAGUUAUGUCAUGUUAUCGAUAUGUGAAUACAUAGCAUAUCAGAAGGCACACCCGGAGAACUGAAACAUCUUAGUACCCGGAGGAAGAGAAAGAAAAUUCGAUUCCCUUAGUAGCGGCGAGCGAAACGGGAAGAGCCCAAACCAACAAGCUUGCUUGUUGGGGUUGUAGGACACUCUAUACGGAGUUACAAAGGACGACAUUAGACGAAUCAUCUGGAAAGAUGAAUCAAAGAAGGUAAUAAUCCAGUAGUCGAAAAUGUUGUCUCUCUUGAGUGGAUCCUGAGUACGACGGAGCACGUGAAAUUCCGUCGGAAUCUGGGAGGACCAUCUCCUAAGGCUAAAUACUCUCUAGUGACCGAUAGUGAACCAGUACCGUGAGGGAAAGGUGAAAAGCACCCCGGAAGGGGAGUGAAAUAGAACCUGAAACCGUGUGCUUACAAGUAGUCAGAGCCCGUUAAUGGGUGAUGGCGUGCCUUUUGUAGAAUGAACCGGCGAGUUACGAUUUGAUGCAAGGUUAAGCAGUAAAUGUGGAGCCGUAGCGAAAGCGAGUCUGAAUAGGGCGUUUAGUAUUUGGUCGUAGACCCGAAACCAGGUGAUCUACCCUUGGUCAGGUUGAAGUUCAGGUAACACUGAAUGGAGGACCGAACCGACUUACGUUGAAAAGUGAGCGGAUGAACUGAGGGUAGCGGAGAAAUUCCAAUCGAACCUGGAGAUAGCUGGUUCUCUCCGAAAUAGCUUUAGGGCUAGCCUCAAGUGAUGAUUAUUGGAGGUAGAGCACUGUUUGGACGAGGGGCCCCUCUCGGGUUACCGAAUUCAGACAAACUCCGAAUGCCAAUUAAUUUAACUUGGGAGUCAGAACAUGGGUGAUAAGGUCCGUGUUCGAAAGGGAAACAGCCCAGACCACCAGCUAAGGUCCCAAAAUAUAUGUUAAGUGGAAAAGGAUGUGGCGUUGCCCAGACAACUAGGAUGUUGGCUUAGAAGCAGCCAUCAUUUAAAGAGUGCGUAAUAGCUCACUAGUCGAGUGACACUGCGCCGAAAAUGUACCGGGGCUAAACAUAUUACCGAAGCUGUGGAUUGUCCUUUGGACAAUGGUAGGAGAGCGUUCUAAGGGCGUUGAAGCAUGAUCGUAAGGACAUGUGGAGCGCUUAGAAGUGAGAAUGCCGGUGUGAGUAGCGAAAGACGGGUGAGAAUCCCGUCCACCGAUUGACUAAGGUUUCCAGAGGAAGGCUCGUCCGCUCUGGGUUAGUCGGGUCCUAAGCUGAGGCCGACAGGCGUAGGCGAUGGAUAACAGGUUGAUAUUCCUGUACCACCUAUAAUCGUUUUAAUCGAUGGGGGGACGCAGUAGGAUAGGCGAAGCGUGCGAUUGGAUUGCACGUCUAAGCAGUAAGGCUGAGUAUUAGGCAAAUCCGGUACUCGUUAAGGCUGAGCUGUGAUGGGGAGAAGACAUUGUGUCUUCGAGUCGUUGAUUUCACACUGCCGAGAAAAGCCUCUAGAUAGAAAAUAGGUGCCCGUACCGCAAACCGACACAGGUAGUCAAGAUGAGAAUUCUAAGGUGAGCGAGCGAACUCUCGUUAAGGAACUCGGCAAAAUGACCCCGUAACUUCGGGAGAAGGGGUGCUCUUUAGGGUUAACGCCCAGAAGAGCCGCAGUGAAUAGGCCCAAGCGACUGUUUAUCAAAAACACAGGUCUCUGCUAAACCGUAAGGUGAUGUAUAGGGGCUGACGCCUGCCCGGUGCUGGAAGGUUAAGAGGAGUGGUUAGCUUCUGCGAAGCUACGAAUCGAAGCCCCAGUAAACGGCGGCCGUAACUAUAACGGUCCUAAGGUAGCGAAAUUCCUUGUCGGGUAAGUUCCGACCCGCACGAAAGGCGUAACGAUUUGGGCACUGUCUCAACGAGAGACUCGGUGAAAUCAUAGUACCUGUGAAGAUGCAGGUUACCCGCGACAGGACGGAAAGACCCCGUGGAGCUUUACUGUAGCCUGAUAUUGAAAUUCGGCACAGCUUGUACAGGAUAGGUAGGAGCCUUUGAAACGUGAGCGCUAGCUUACGUGGAGGCGCUGGUGGGAUACUACCCUAGCUGUGUUGGCUUUCUAACCCGCACCACUUAUCGUGGUGGGAGACAGUGUCAGGCGGGCAGUUUGACUGGGGCGGUCGCCUCCUAAAAGGUAACGGAGGCGCUCAAAGGUUCCCUCAGAAUGGUUGGAAAUCAUUCAUAGAGUGUAAAGGCAUAAGGGAGCUUGACUGCGAGACCUACAAGUCGAGCAGGGUCGAAAGACGGACUUAGUGAUCCGGUGGUUCCGCAUGGAAGGGCCAUCGCUCAACGGAUAAAAGCUACCCCGGGGAUAACAGGCUUAUCUCCCCCAAGAGUUCACAUCGACGGGGAGGUUUGGCACCUCGAUGUCGGCUCAUCGCAUCCUGGGGCUGUAGUCGGUCCCAAGGGUUGGGCUGUUCGCCCAUUAAAGCGGUACGCGAGCUGGGUUCAGAACGUCGUGAGACAGUUCGGUCCCUAUCCGUCGUGGGCGUAGGAAAUUUGAGAGGAGCUGUCCUUAGUACGAGAGGACCGGGAUGGACAUACCUCUGGUGUACCAGUUGUCGUGCCAACGGCAUAGCUGGGUAGCUAUGUGUGGACGGGAUAAGUGCUGAAAGCAUCUAAGCAUGAAGCCCCCCUCAAGAUGAGAUUUCCCAACUUCGGUUAUAAGAUCCCUCAAAGAUGAUGAGGUUAAUAGGUUCGAGGUGGAAGCAUGGUGACAUGUGGAGCUGACGAAUACUAAUCGAUCGAAGACUUAAUCAA